rnacentral:rRNA from 1 species
UGUAAGCGUAUACCAAAGUUGUUGCAGUUAAAACGCUCGUAGUCGGACUUUGGCAGUUCCGGAAGUGUGCACGUCGUGUGCGCACUUUGCGGGGACUGCUUUUGUGGUCUUGCGUAGGAUGAGGCACUUUCAUUAGUGAACGUCCUCACGCAACCACUCUUUACUGUGAGAAAAUCAGAGUGCUCAAAGCAGGCAUUUGCCGUGAAUGUAUUAGCAUGGAAUAAUAGAAUAGGACUUGGUUCUAUUUUGUUGGUUUGUUGGGACUGAGUAAUGAUUAAGAGGGACAGUUGGGGGCAUUUGUAUUUCGGUGCUAGAGGUGAAAUUCUUAGAUUACCGAAAGACAAACUGCUGCGAAAGCGUCUGCCAAGGAUGUUUUCAUUGA